CGGAGUUUCGUCCGGUCACGUGAUGGCGUGAUGACGUCGAUUACGUCAUCACGCCAUCACGUGACCGGACGAAACUCCG